GGUAUUGUUUGAGGAAGUUGAAGAAGGUGAAGAAGAGCAAUGGGCAAAUGCUUGCUAUCAAUGAGACUUUUGAAAAGAACC